AAGAUACUGUAAAGCCCAGGGGCAGUGUGUCACUCAGGAGGUCAGGGGUCUAUGCCCGUCUUCUAGGCUCUGAAUAGCGUACAAAGAUACUGUAAAGCCCAGGGGCAGUGUGUCACUCAGGAGGUCAGGGGUCUAUGCCCGUCUUCUAGGCUCUGAAUAGCGUACAAAGAUACUGUAAAGCCCAGGGGCAGUGUGUCACUCAGGAGGUCAGGGGUCUAUGUCCGUCUUCUAGGCUCUGAAUAGCGUACAAAGAUACUGUAAAGCCCAGGGGCAGUGUGUCACUCAGGAGGUCAGGGGUCUAUGCCCGUCUUCUAGGCUCUGAAUAGCGUACAAAGAUAC